rnacentral:lncRNA from 1 species
GCAUAUAUUAAAUCAAUCAAUCAUAAUGAUGCACUAUUAUAGUUAUAUCUUAAUAUCAUAACAAUUAAUUAUGGAAUCUAUUCAUAUCUCUAAGAUAUAAAAUCAUAAUCAUUUAAUAUGAUUAUAACUAAGCAUCUCAAGCAUAUCAAAUAUGCAUAAAGUUUUAAUAACAUAAAUGAAUACAAAAUAUUCUUUUCAUGAUUCUUCUUCUUAGGACAUCAUAAUGGCACCCCUACGUGCCAUAAAAGUAUCCUAUUG